GACGAGGGAUCCUAGCGUUGUUCGGAAUCAUUGGGCGUAAAGCGGGUGCAGGUGGCUUUGUAAGUCAGGUGUGAAAUCCCAGGGCUCAACCCUGGAAGUGCAUUUGAUACUGCAAAGCUUGAGUGCUGGAGAGGCUAUUAGAAUACAUGGUGUAGUGGUGAAAUACGUAGAUAUCAUGUGGAAUACCGGAGGCGAAGGCGGAUAGCUGGCCAGACACUGACACUCAUACCCGAAAGCGUGGGGAUCAAACAGG
rnacentral:rRNA from 1 species